UACAGAGGUGGCAAGCGUUGUUCGGAAUUACUGGGCGUAAAGGGCGCGUAGGCGGCCUACUAAGUCAGACGUGAAAUCCCCCGGCUUAACCUGGGAACUGCGUCUGAUACUGGAAGGCUUGAGGAUGGGAGAGGGAUGUAGAAUUCCAGGUGUAGCGGUGAAAUGCGCAGAUAUCAGGAGGAACACCGGUGGCGAAGGCGGGUCUCUGGGCCGAUACUGACGCUGAGGAGCGAAAGCGUGGGGAGCGAACAGG
rnacentral:rRNA from 1 species